CCUCCUUCUCUGUUACAGUAAUAGAUUACACUGGGGAACACAAUUUUUGUUGAGUUAGGUCUGACAGCUGUUUUUAACUAAUUUUUGGGUGCAGAAUCCAAAACUGAUCUCAGUUUUUCUCCAUCACGUCAAGUUUUUGAACUAUAGGAUCCCCGUUUU